ACUUAAAUAGCUUAUAUAUUAGAGCACAAUAUUGAAGAUAUUGGAGAAAUUAAUUUAAUUUUUAAGUA
rnacentral:tRNA from 1 species